rnacentral:lncRNA from 1 species
AUAUAUCUCAUGGUUAUUACUUAAUAUGGAAAUAUUUUGACUUGCAAAAUUCGUACCAGUUGUUCGGAGUGGCAAACAGGUUUUACAUGGAGUUAAAGGUUAUAUAUUAAAGACUAUUUUAUUCAAGAAAUCUCCAGACAAAUAACCUAAACUGAUAAAAAAUAUCUAAAGAAAAAGACGCAUUGUGGUAUGCUUUAUGAUGAACGAUAGAUUCUUGUUAUGAUGACGAUCAUGAGAACAUACUAUAUUUUCUUCGUUUGUGUUUGCUCUUUUUUAACCCAAGUAGAUAAUAAACCAAUUCCAAGCAGCAACGUUUCUCAAAAUACAGACUCAUCAGUAAAUAAAGCACAUGUUUUAUCAAUAAAAUGCGCUGCUCGCGUUUUGACGAAAGCAUCCAAAAUGAUGACGUUUUGCAACAGGCAAAGUAACAGAGACACGUGCUUGGCUCCUUCUUGUAACGAGUAUAUAAAUGCAACACCGGAACAAUGCACCGAGUUUGAAAAUGUGUUUAACUACCCAAUGGGACCUUAUUGCUUAGCACUUGCUAGCUUUAUGUUGAAUAUCAACACUCAUGUUGCGUACAGAAACUGUUGUUGACCAAUGUUUUCAAAUUGAUCAAAAUUUAGAAAAUCGUCAAAUGACAAAACACAAAACUUGAAAUCUUUGUUAAUACGAGCGUGGCAUGUUCUAUAAGUAACGCAUAUGUAUAACGUAUAAAUAUUGUAAGCAUAUCAUAAACGCGAACGCACAUAGCAUACGUGCACGCAGCGUAUUCACUUUUAAUUUUAUCUGUUCAAAACUUUUUUUUUUAAAAUAUUUGUAAAGGUUCUUUAUGUAAUUACACGGUUUUAUUUAGGUUA